rnacentral:rRNA from 1 species
AUACGUAGGGGGCGAGCGUUGUCCGGAAUGACUGGGCGUAGAGGGCGUGUAGGCGGUUGUCUAAGUCUGGAGUGAAAGUCCUGCUUUCAAGGGGGGAAUAGCUUUGGAUACUGGAUGACUUGAGUGCGGAAGAGGUAAGGGGAAUUCCCAGUGUAGCGGUGAAAUGCGUAGAGAUUGGGAGGAACACCAGUGGCGAAGGCGACUUACUGGGCCGUAACUGACGCUGAGGCGCGAAAGCGUGGGGAGCGAACAGGAUUAGAUACCCUGGUAGUCCACGCGGUAAACGAUGAAUGCUAGGUGUUGCGGGUAUCGACCCCUGCAGUGCCGGAGUAAACACAAUAAGCAUUCCGCCUGGGGAGUACGGCCGCAAGGUUGAAACUCAAAUGAAUUGACGGGG